rnacentral:tRNA from 2 species
GGUGGGAUAGCGAAGUGGUUAAACGCAGCAGACUGUAAAUCUGCCCUCUCUGAGUUCGAAGGUUCGAAUCCUUCUCCCACCACCA